GGGGUGAGCUGAACCUAACCAAUUGCUCUGCUCUGCUCCUCCGCAAAACGUCUCUCAUCUCCCACCUUCCUCCUCACCUCGCACCUCUCCUGCUGCUGCUGCUCCUGUAGCUCACCAACCAGAGGACGGCCCCACCCCCGGCGGCCGCCUCUGAGCUUUCCUCCCCCGGCCGGCGGGAAAGGAGGAGAGGAAAAGAACCCCUUUUCACUAUCUUCUCGCCUGUACGGAUCAGCGCGGCUCGUAAUGCCGGCCGGCGGCUCCGAUUGGAUCCACGACCACUGUGCAAGCGCACGACGCAGCGGCGGCGGCGCUCGUGUCGUAGAGGCUGGAUUCGCCUCUCAUAGCGUGGCCCUGUGAGUCCUCCUCCUCCUGAUGGUCGCCGGCGUUGGACACCACUGUUAAGAGACGGCACAGGCAAGGCAAAUCGAUGUGUUCAGUGAGGAAUCAAGUACCGUGUUGCUGUAGAAAUCGCCAUAAACAAGCAACUCCAGUGCUCAGUGUGGAAUCUGGAUGAAUGAACCCUGGUAAAGCCGAUGGUGGGAGCAGUGCAGCCGAGGAUGCCCUUCCUAUGGGUCCUCCUAUUCCUCUUGUCACUGCUGCCACAGCUGUCUGCGGCGGCGGCUGCCGAUUUCAGCCACUGCGGAGGCUGCGAUGACAGCGAUGGCAGCAGCCUCUGGAACACGGAGAACAUACUGCAGUGCCAGAAGGUGAGUGACUUCCUCAUCGCCACGGCCUACUUCUCCAUCCCGCUGGAGCUGCUCUACUUCACCACCUGCUCCGACCUCUUCCCGCUCAAGUGGAUCCUGCUGCAGUUCGGCGCCUUCAUCGUUCUCUGUGGCCUCACGCACCUUGUCUCCGUCUUCACCUACGGGCCACAUUCUUUCCAAGUUGUCCUUGCACUCACCGUUGGCAAGUUCCUCACCGCUCUUGUCUCUUUCGCAACGGCCAUCACGCUGCUGACCCUGAUCCCGCAGCUGCUGAGGGUGAAGGUGAGGGAGAACUUUUUGAGGGUCAAGGCGCGGGAGUUGGACCAGGAGGUGGGCAAGAUGAAGAGGCGGGAAGAGACGGGCUGGCACGUGAGGAUGCUCACACAGGAGAUCCGCAGGUCGCUUGACAGGCACACCGUCCUGCACACCACCAUGGUCGAGCUUGCCAAGACACUGGAGCUGCAGAACUGUGCUGUGUGGAUGCCCAACGAGGGCAGGACCGAGAUGAUCUUGACGCAUCAUCUGAGAGAGAGGGAGAUCACUGCAUCGCACAGCGGUUCCAUUCCUAUCGGUGACCCGGAUGUGGUUGAAAUCAAGGCGACGAGGGGUGCAAAAGUUCUUGGGGAGGAGUCGGCACUUGGGAUCGCGAGCAGGUGCAGUCCUGCUGAAGCAGGGGCUGCUGUUGCCGCGAUACGGAUGCCAAUGUUAAGGGUGUCGAAUUUCAAAGGAGGCACUCCAGAAAUGAUGGAGACAAGCUAUGCUAUCCUAGUUCUGGUUUUACCUGAAGAUGGGGGUUCCGUUGGGUGGGGCGAGCAGGAAUUGGAGAUUGUUGAAGUGAUCGCCGAUCAAGUGGCCGUUGCGCUGUCGCAUGCCGCAGUACUGGAGGAGUCUCAGCUGAUGCGGGAGAAGCUUGCUCAGCAGCAUAGAGACUUACUGCAGGCAAAACAUGAAGCGGUGAUGGCAACAGAAGCUAGGAAUUCCUUUCAGAGUGCCAUGUAUGACGGGAUGCGUAGACCGAUGCACUCAGUCCUUGGGCUCGUCUCGAUGAUGCAGCAGGAGAGUAUGAAUCCCGAGCAAAGGCUUGUGAUGGAUGCCAUUGUCAAGACGACUAGUGUCGCCUCAACAUUGAUGAAUGAUGUCAUGCAGACAUCGACGAUGGAUCGUGAGCAUCUAUCUUUGGUGAGGAGGCCAUUCAGCCUGCAUUCCUUGAUCAAGGAAGCAGUCAGUGUCGUAAGAUGUCUUUCCGGUUCCAAGGGAGUUGAUUUCGAAUUUCAAGUGGAGAACUCUCUUCCCGAAAGGGUCGUUGGUGAUGAGAAGAGGGUUUUCCAUAUUGUCUUGCACAUGGUAGGCACUCUACUACACCAGUGUGGUGCAGGCUGCCUUUCUUUAUAUGUGAACAGUUAUAAUGAGAUGGAAGAAAGGCAUAAUCCUGAUUGGAUGCUGCGAAGAGCAAACUUGUCUGCUGGCUAUGUAUGCGUGAAGUUUGAGAUUAGAAUCAGAAAAUACAAAGACAGCCUUUUUGGCUUAUUGUCCAGUCAAGAGCCGAAUGCUAACAGUUCGGAGAUGGGCCUUAGCUUCAACAUGUGCAAGAAGAUUGUGCAGAUGAUGAAUGGUAAUAUUUGGUCAGUAUCAGAUCCAGAAGGCCUCAGAGAAACUGUCAUGCUCGCUCUCCAGUUCCAGGUGCAACAUGUGACUCCCAUCUCUGGAGCAUCCUCAGACCUCUACCGAUCGUCAGCAAUUCCCAAUUUCAACGGACUCCACGUCCUUCUUGUGGACGGGGAUGACACCAACCGAGCUGUCACCCACAAGCUCCUGGAGAAGCUCGGUUGUCGAGUGUUUUCGGUCAGUUCAGGCAUCCAAUGCAUGACCUCCUUCGCUGGUGGCGAGUCAUCAUUCCAGUUGCUGAUCCUCGACCUCACAAUGCACACGAUGGACGGGUUUGAGGUAGCCCUCGCAAUCCGGAAGUUUAGGAGCAACAGCUGGCCGCCGUUGAUUGUUGCCCUCGCGGCGAGCGCUGAUGACAAUGUCCGGGACCGAUGCCAGCGAUCAGGAAUAAACGGUCUGCUCCAGAAACCAGUCACGCUAGCGGCUCUGGGAGACGAACUGUAUAGAGUCCUUCAGCACAACUGAAAGGGCCUGAGGGUUCUCAAUCUCAAUAGAUUGUUGUAGCUCGAUUGAUAGUCAUAUUAUUAUGCCAGUUUUGGUGCCAUACAAAUCACAAAAAACAUGUGCACAAAAGGAAAUGAAUGUACAGGAAGAUGAAGAAAAGCCUGCCUUUUUGCUGCUUGGUUCUUUUGGUGAAAGAAGGUGGGAGAUUUUGAAGAGAUCAAAAGUUCUUCUUGAUAGCGAAUUUCAAUGUGUUGGUAGCAGCCACUAUCAAUAAUCAAUUGCUGGCUGUGCUGCGGCAGACACGGCAUGCGAUCUCCUUUGCAGCUUAUUGUGUUUCUCAGAGCAUGUCAGCGCCUGCUUCUGGUUCAGAAUAAACUCCUGUGUCAGCAGUGAAGUGUCUGCAUCACCUGUUAAAAGAGAUGGAAUGUCUGCGAAAGAAAAGAGUUACUAGGAAAUGGGGUUUGGACCGAAGUACAACGCAGUUCAGUGCCUUGUGAGUUAUAGUGUUUUUUGGGCUGGUCAGAUCGUUUUGCAACCAUGACUAAGUACAGUGGAUGAUACCUUUGUGACUCCACAUUUCUUGGUAGAAAUGGUUGGAUUUGAGAUCUGAACUUGAUCAACUAUAUAUAGUUAUGAGCAAUUCUCCUGCACGUGAAAUUUGUCAACCGUUACUUUUAGUGCAUCCAGUGGCUCAAAAUGGAUGGUGCCUCUUGGUACUUGCAUGCCCAAUGACGAGCUGUCAACUAGAGGUACCAACCUGCGAGGAUAACCAGGCAAGUUACCGGCUCUGCCUCUCAUCAUCCUGGUGCAUGAUGGCUCUUCCUCGUCGUUGAUUGGCCCGAAGAACACCUCCCGCUACACCUCUGGCAUGUCCUCGGGUAACCACGGCUGCCAAUCUUCCGCCGCUCGCCGCACCCACUGGUCGACUGGUCGUAGAUCUCCUGAGUGGAUUCAUCAAUAACCAAAUAUGGUGCUGAUUUAUCCGUGCAAAUGCAAGUGCCUUCUAGAUUUUUUUUUGACUUCGAGCUCCAUCGUAGGAUUCAAAGCAACAUGGCUGUUUCUGCCAAAGGUAAAACCGCAUCACUUUGUACUCGUUGGUGGACAAUCUGCAAGACACACGACAAGUUCCUCCUUUUUUUAAUUAUGUGCAUGGAAUUUCUUAGUUCCAUCAUUUGUAUUGACAUUUUGACCUCCUUGACAUGUAUUCCAUGGUACACUCUUGACUAA